rnacentral:rRNA from 1 species
GAUGAACGCUGGCGGCGUGCCUAAUACAUGCAAGUCGAGCGAACAGAUAAGGAGCUUGCUCCUUUGACGUUAGCGGCGGACGGGUGAGUAACACGUGGGUAACCUACCCAUAAGACUGGGAUAACUUCGGGAAACCGGAGCUAAUACCGGAUAACAUUUGGAACCGCAUGGUUCUAAAGUGAAAGAUGGUUUUGCUAUCACUUAUAGAUGGACCCGCGCCGUAUUAGCUAGUUGGUAAGGUAACGGCUUACCAAGGCAACGAUACGUAGCCGACCUGAGAGGGUGAUCGGCCACACUGGAACUGAGACACGGUCCAGACUCCUACGGGAGGCAGCAGUAGGGAAUCUUCCGCAAUGGGCGAAAGCCUGACGGAGCAACGCCGCGUGAGUGAUGAAGGGUUUCGGCUCGUAAAACUCUGUUAUUAGGGAAGAACAAACGUGUAAGUAACUGUGCACGUCUUGACGGUACCUAAUCAGAAAGCCACGGCUAACUACGUG